rnacentral:rRNA from 1 species
AGAGUUUGAUCAUGGCUCAGAGCGAACGCUGGCGGCAGGCUUAACACAUGCAAGUCGAGCGGGCGUAGCAAUACGUCAGCGGCAGACGGGUGAGUAACGCGUGGGAACGUACCUUUUGGUUCGGAACAACACAGGGAAACUUGUGCUAAUACCGGAUAAGCCCUUACGGGGAAAGAUUUAUCGCCGAAAGAUCGGCCCGCGUCUGAUUAGCUAGUUGGUGAGGUAACGGCUCACCAAGGCGACGAUCAGUAGCUGGUCUGAGGGGAUGAUCAGCCACAUUGGGACUGAGACACGGCCCAAACUCCUACGGGAGGCAGCAGUGGGGAAUAUUGGACAAUGGGCGCAAGCCUGAUCCAGCCAUGCCGCGUGAGUGAUGAAGGCCCUAGGGUUGUAAAGCUCUUUUGUGCGGGAAGAUAAUGACGGUACCGCAAGAAUAAGCCCCGGCUAACUUCGUGCCAGCAGCCGCGGUAAUACGAAGGGGGCUAGCGUUGCUCGGAAUCACUGGGCGUAAAGGGUGCGUAGGCGGGUCUUUAAGUCAGGGGUGAAAUCCUGGAGCUCAACUCCAGAACUGCCUUUGAUACUGAGGAUCUUGAGUUCGGGAGAGGUGAGUGGAACUGCGAGUGUAGAGGUGAAAUUCGUAGAUAUUCGCAAGAACACCAGUGGCGAAGGCGGCUCACGGGCCCGAUACUGACGCUGAGGCACGAAAGCGUGGGGAGCAAACAGGAUUAGAUACCCUAGUAGUCC